CCCAGCAAUUGGAUUUCAUCAAUAUUAUAUAACGUUGAUUAAAAUUUCCUUUUCUCUCGAGCAACCAUGUAUAUUCCAAGCGUGAUGAAGGGAUUAGAUCAUCGUAUCGUAAAUUAUGCUUACUUCCAACCCCAAAGGCAGACUUUCUAUGUGCUUGUCUCUUUGCUUCGAGGGCCAGCGAACUCUUCACUCUAUAUGACAGAAACAGCCUAGAAUCCAGGGGGAAAUUUGAAAGUCAAUCAAGGAAGGAACUGCAAGAUGGACAGAGCAAGGUCUCGUAGAAAUGUAUGAGAUUCGUUUCUCGCAAAUUACGAGAUACGGAAACGUUUAAAGUCAUCUACAGGCGGAAAUCUGUUCAAGACAGUCGCGAACUUUAUAAUAUAAUGGAAUCGUUUUACAUAUUUGCGGACAAACAACACAACACAGUUUUCGUCUAUGAAUAUGAAAUAAAAAAUUUAAAUAAAAAUUAUGUUAAUCCUUUCGGUACGAGUUGUUUUUUAACAUCGAUGAUAAAGAAAAUAAUCACAGACUUCGCUGGAUGCAUAAGCAUUCAUAGACAACAUCAAUGGAAUUUUUUCUGAUGAAUAUGUACUUCUCCUGUAGGAAAGUAUGAGAUGACUCGUUUGUUUGUAAGAAAUGUUCAAGAGCAGUUAUGAAAUCAUUUACGGAUUUCACUACGUUUUACAUAUUCGAAACUUUCCAUCUUUGCAUUUCUUUUCUGUCUCCCCUUUCUCAUGAAUACUUGAAUACAUGAUUUUUUCAAAUGUAAUAAAAAAAAAAAAAAAAGAAAAAAAAUGCUAAUUCGUAUAUUACAAAACUUCACAAAAAUAAUCGUAAGAAUCUGUUCUAUUUUUCCUCGUAUAUUUCCUUGUUUGGAAAAAGGAAUAAUUUAUGACUUGUAAUUUGUAAAAUUACGCUAAUAAUAUCAGUUUACUUGUACAAGAUGGCCACCAUACACAUAUUUGUCACAUUAGAAAAUAUAGACCUAACCAAACAGGAAUAUUACACAUUACAAGUUAACGUA